rnacentral:rRNA from 1 species
AACGAACGCUGGCGGCGCGUUUUAAGCAUGCAAGUCGAACGGGAUCCUUGUGCUUGCACGAGGUGAGAGUGGCGAACGGGUGAGUAACGCGUAGAUGAUCUACCUUUUGGUUGGGGAUAGCUCAUGGAAACAUGGGGUAAUACCGAAUGAGAUCUUCGGGCUGUGGCCUGGGGAGGAAAGGGGCUUUGGCCUCGCCGAGAGAUGAGUCUGCGUAUGAUUAGCUAGUUGGUGUGGUAAAGGCGCACCAAGGCGACGAUCAUUAGCCGGCCUGAGAGGGUGACCGGCCACAUUGGGACUGAGACACGGCCCAGACUCCUACGGGUGGCAG